GCUGCCUUGAUCUAGUGGCUAGGGUAACCGGCUGCAGUACAUGAAUAUUUAUUCGCUUCCGGUAGAUCGCCGGUUCGAGUCCGGCAGGCAGCU